rnacentral:lncRNA from 1 species
UCCUGGCCCUGCGGGGAUGAAGGAUGAGGGGUUCGGGGAGCUGCGCUGAGCCCAAGGAGAGCUCCUAGCACUGCUCCCUGGGCUCUGACAGCAAUGUCACUGUGUCCCAUGCCUGAUGGCAGCCUUCCCAAGCACUGGGUGAACAGCCUCUCGUUUAUAUUUGCCAAUUUAGUCACGUCAUACCAGAUAUAACUGAGCCAGAGUAAACAGGGAAAUCAGGUUUCUUGAUGCCGUUGCACUUCCCUGGUGUUUGGACCGUGUCGAUUCAGAGGGGUAAGCCAGCUUCCAGCCUACACUGCUCAGAAUUGUUUUUCUCAGCUCUGUCAACGCCUCUGAGCUCCUCGCUGCAAGCAAGAGGACAGGGUCACCCCGAGCC